rnacentral:rRNA from 1 species
UACGGAGGGUGCAAGCGUUGUCCGGAUUUAUUGGGUCUAAAGGGUGCGUAGGUGGUUUGAUAAGUCCGGGGUGAAAGCCCACAGCUCAACUGUGGAACUGCCCUGGAUACUGUCAGACUUGAGGGUAGACGAGGUUGGCGGAAUAGAAGGUGUAGCGGUGAAAUGCAUAGAUACCUUCUAGAACCCCGAUUGCGUAGGCAGCUGACUAGGCUACACCUGACACUGAGGCACGAAAGCGUGGGGAGCGAACAGG